UACGUAGGCAGCGAGCGUUGUUCGGAAUUACUGGGCGUAAAGAGUGUGUAGGUGGUGAUCUAAGUCUGUCGUGAAAUCUCCCGGCUUAACUGGGAGGGUGCGGCGGAAACUGGAUCGCUAGAGUAUGGGAGAGGUAAGCGGAAUUCCUGGUGUAGCGGUGAAAUGCGUAGAUAUCGGGAGGAACACCAGUGGCGAAGGCGAUCACCUGGGGAUGUUCUGACGCUGAGGAGCGAAAGCUAGGGGAGCAAACGGG
rnacentral:rRNA from 1 species